rnacentral:misc_RNA from 1 species
AAAGUCAAAUAGUACGUGAAAUUGUUGAAAGGGAAACGAUUGAAGUCAGUCAUACCGAUGGGUAAUCAGCCUUUUGAGUGCAGUUUUUGUGGCUAAUGGAGAGACUUCAUGGUCGCAUAGCGGUGCUUUUUGGGUGUAUUUGCUCGUAUGGUAGGUUAACAUCAAUUUUGGUCGUCAUAAAAUGACGGGAGGAAUGUAGCUUCAAUUUUUUUGAAGUGUUUUAUAGCCUCUGGUAGAUGUGAUGACUGGGAUUGAGGAUUGCAACGAAUGCCCCUUGGCUACUCGUCUGAUCUCUGAUUGUCGCUCUGGGGCCGAAAGCUUGCUUACGGUAUCAGAGUUUUGGGGGUCAAAAGGUUAGAACGGGUUAAAUUCGUUAAGGAUGUUGACGUAAUGGCUUUAAACGA